CUCGAAGGAGGACGAAGUGCUCGAAAUCGAAUCCCGUCCCAAGGAUUCAUUAGCUCCCAGGCCCGGAUGCGCUUCCAGGAUCGGGAACUCCCGGUGCGGGCACGCCUGGGUGGCGGUGGCGCUUUACCCCAGUCGGGAAACGUCGACCGCCCUUCCCAAAAUAAACAGCCAACGGCGGUGUUGAACUCCGGGUCCUCAUCAGGAACAACUGAAGGCUUCCUCUUGCUCCCCCCAACCUGUUGUGGCAACUAAUAUGCUUCAACAAUCAAAUCAAAUCCGGGGAAAAGAAGGUCCGACUUCGCGAGCAGAGCCCCAACCUGAGCCCUUAUAGUGGUACCCGCCGGAUUUUCUACUGAAGAUCAAUCCGAAAGCCGUUCCAAGUCUCAUUAACAUCAUCGACUUAGUGCACCAAAAAGCGAUUGAUCCGGAUUGAAAAUCUGGAGAAAUUUGGACGGGAAAGAAAUGUUGCCGGUAUCGCUGAGUUUCCGUGACAUCCGUCAGGACCUGUGGAUCCGGAUGAGCAUUGCCAAGAGGCCACGGCCACUCCAGCAAAAAUUAUGCCAUGACCUGGGAGCGGAGUGUGUCAACUUGAAUUUCAGCAGAAAUAUCAAUUUCUCUAUUGUCAAAACAAAUCAAAUUAUUCGCUCUACAGCAUUGCCUUGGCGUUCUCGAUUGCGAGAUUCCUACUCGAAACUAGGUGUCCGAAGGCUUGAUUGUUGAGGCAAUUGCAAACCUCUUUUUACACGUAGCUUCCAUCCACCCCGGGAUUCGAACUGACGACCUUUGGAUUAUUAGUCCAACUGCCUACCAGCGACUCCACCGAGGCAGGACCCAGGGAGACGACUCCUACACCUGGACUGAGCUAACGACCUAACCUUUAUUUUUAGGUUAGUCCGGGGCCAACAUUUACUUCCCGUCCGACGGAAGGCGUGAUCAGACAAAUCUCGUCUCGAAAAAUGCCACCGGGACCGUCUGGGAUCGAACCUAGGCCGACUGGGUGAGAGGCAAUCACGCUUACCCCUACACCACGGUCCCGGCUCUCUAUUGUAAAAUGGGUAAAAUAAUUGUAAACAAUUUAGAAUAUAAUAAAAAAAAAAAUUAUGCGCCAGUUUUUAUUGCAAUUUAAUAAUCAAUAAAAAAAAAUCCGAACUGAAUUUCGUGUAAUCGAACUCGAUUUCGUGUAAUGCCGAUCCUCCGUGUUGGAGAGCUUUAUGACGUUUCGCGUACACACACUAGCGCACCAUUUGAUUUUGCUGGGCGGACAAAAUUUAACCUCAAUCUUUUUCGUGUACGUACACGCAAUACAUGCGCACGUAGAUAACUCUAUUAAAAGAGAGAGAGUGAGAAAAGGGCACAAGAAAUUGAGAAAUAAGGGAGAGUGAGAGAGAAAGCAAGUAUUUGGAGAGGAAAUCAUGUGUUCGUUCGUACAGGAUUCUCUCUGCCUACUCGAAUCAACCUCAUGUUGAUUCGGGUCAUUCUGGUUGAUAAAUUUGAAGCAGUAAGAUGUGCAAAAGUUCUGGGUUUGAAGAGGUUUGCUGUUUUAUGCUUGGGGACACGACAAUGGCGCAGUUUUACGCUCUCAUCUAGAGGGAUUCUGCAAGAGUGAUGUUAAAACAGGUGCAAAAGUGAAGUGAAUAGGAUGAUUUUGGUGAUUUUCAGUGGGAAAAUGGUAAGCGGAGCGCAAUUUAUGGCUGACGGUAUUUAUGAAGUCGUGUGUGCUGGCGGAAGAUUGGUAAUUUGCUUGAUUGUCGAGAUAUUUUGGUUACAGCGGUCGUUGGUGCGUUUAUAUUGAGAGGCUGAGUGCAAUUUCUGCAUGGGUGGAAUUUAUUAGCGGUUUCCUUGUGGUAGUGAUGUGAAGGUGGUUUUGAUAAUUUUGAGAUGUGUGAAGUCCGUUGUUUUAUUGCGGCUUUUGCAAAAAUGACUGCGGUGAUUAGUUCUUACCGGAAGUUGGGUCACCAGAAGUGGCAAGUGACAGUUAAAAGACAAGCAAAGAAAUAAAAGUUUGGGAAAACAGAAAGGAAGCCAAAACUGUUACUUUGAAAUGUGAAAUAAGUGAUUAAUCUUAGAGAAAAUGGUAAAAAAGACAUGCCAGAAAUAUGACAGCUUGGCAAAAAAGAAUGAAAAGCCCGAGCGAAAAGUAAAAAAAAAAGAGAUUAACUUCAGAAGAAUUGGCAAAAAAGACAAGCCAGAAAUAUGACAGCUUGGCAAAAAAGAAUUAAAAGCCAGAGCGAAAAAAAAAGAUAUUAACUUUAGAGGAAAUGGCAAAAAAGACAAGCCAGAAAUAUGAAAUAUUAUUGAAAAUUUCAAAAAAUAUUUUGAAAAUUGUAAUGAUUGUGAGUGCGGAAAUGGAUGUAGACGAAUAAUAUUGCGUAGAAUGAGAAUUUCAUUCAAUUUCAUGACGAUAAUUUAAGAAACGGUUGUCUUGUUGCAAAGAGUUUGGAGAAGCCAAAUGAUAUUGAACGAAUUUGAGUAUUCCAGAGAAUUUCAAGGAUAAACAAAGAGAAAAGUGUCUAAAACCUACCCGGUCGAAAUUUGGAUUUUGGAUUAGAUUUCUGAAAAAAGAAAGUAAAGAUGAUUUGGAGUGCAACAAAAAAAAACAAUUAAGUAAAUGAAUUAUCGAGGGGGACGUCACUCCGCGAUAACACACUAAAACGCACAAAAACGAGCUCGAAAAACAUCAACGCUACUCAUCGGGCCGAUUUUUCACAUAACGCCAUCUUAAAGCAAGUUAUCGCAAGUUAACGCGCGUUAAAGCGAUUUAAAGCGGUCAGCGAUUGCUCGAUUUUGAACUAAGCAAAAUCGAUCUUGCAGCCUUGCCAUCUCAAAUCGAGUAGUUUUUAAUCGAGUUUGGCAACUCGGUGUUUGUUUUGCUUUUCCUGCAGUUUUUGUAAAUAAACAAAGCAAUCUGCAAUCCGCGAGUUUAUUUUUUUUCCCCGCUCGGUGACAAAAACGCUGCAGGUUUGCCGCUCCGCCGGCGGUCCCAAAGGACAGGGGGAAUAUUCCUGAGUUCGCGGUACGAGGAGAUGUUUCCACCGAUGGCUGGGCCGGCGAAUUUGGUUUGACGGAGCUGAAGCAAAUGCUUCAGGUUUUGUGGAGGAGCCCGUAGAACCAGCGAAAGACGGUCUACAUCUCGGUG